GAUGAACGCUGGCGGCGUGCCUAAUACAUGCAAGUAGAACGCUGAAGGAAGGAGCUUGCUCUUUCCGGAUGAGUUGCGAACGGGUGAGUAACGCGUAGGUAACCUGCCUGGUAGCGGGGGAUAACUAUUGGAAACGAUAGCUAAUACCGCAUAACAGUAGAUGUUGCAUGAUAUCUACUUAAAAGGUGCAAUUGCACCACUACCAGAUGGACCUGCGUUGUAUUAGCUAGUUGGUGAGGUAACGGCUCACCAAGGCGACGAUACAUAGCCGACCUGAGAGGGUGAUCCGCCACACUGGGACUGAGACACGGCCCAGACUCCUACGGGAGGCAGCAGUAGGGAAUCUUCGGCAAUGGACGGAAGGCUGACCGAGCAACGCCGCGUGAGUGAAGAAGGGUUUCGGAUCGUAAAGCUCUGUUGUAAGAGAAGAACGAGUGUUAGAGGUGAAAGUUCACACUGUGACGGUAUCUUACCAGAAAGGGACGGCUAACUACGUG
rnacentral:rRNA from 1 species